AGAGUUUGAUCCUGGCUCAGAUUGAACGCUGGCGGCAUGCCUUACACAUGCAAGUCGAACGGCAGCGCGGGGCAACCUGGCGGCGAGUGGCGAACGGGUGAGUAAUAUAUCGGAACGUACCCUGGAGUGGGGGAUAACGUAGCGAAAGUUACGCUAAUACCGCAUACGAUCUAAGGAUGAAAGUGGGGGAUCGCAAGACCUCAUGCUCCUGGAGCGGCCGAUAUCUGAUUAGCUAGUUGGCGGGGUAAAAGCCCACCAAGGCAACGAUCAGUAGCUGGUCUGAGAGGACGACCAGCCACACUGGAACUGAGACACGGUCCAGACUCCUACGGGAGGCAGCAGUGGGGAAUUUUGGACAAUGGGCGCAAGCCUGAUCCAGCAAUGCCGCGUGAGUGAAGGAGG
rnacentral:rRNA from 1 species